rnacentral:lncRNA from 1 species
GUCUAAUCCAGUCUAGUCUAAUCCAGUCUAGUCUAAUCCAGUCAAAUCUAAUCCAGUCAAAUCUAAUCCAGUCUAGUCUAAUCCAGUCUAGUCUAAUCCAGUCUAGUCUAAUCCAGUCUAGUCUAAUCCAGUCUAGUCUAAUCCAGUCUAGUCUAAUCCAGUCUAGUCUAAUCCAGUGUUAUGUUCCACAGCAAAAUAAAACUACAAUGUUGCUCAAACAGAAGGGAGAACUGAUCAACAACCAAAACGAAACCGGUGCAGUUUUAGGAAGGGUUCUGAAAGACGCUCGUGUCCACUGACAGUUUACUAGCAGCAACAACAACAACUGGGACCUAAAAAACCCCACCAGGAGACCCACUAACUUCACCCAGGAAGAGGCCAACAAAGACCCCCACCAGGAGACCCACUAACUCCACCCAGGAAGAGGCCAACAAAGACCCCCACCAGGAGACCCACUAACUCCACCCAGGAAGAGGCCAACAAAGACCCCCACCAGGAGACCCACUAACUCCACCCAGGAAGAGGCCAACAAAAAACCCCACCAGGAGACCCACUGACUCCACCCAGGAAGAGGCCAACAAAAACCCCCACCAAACUUAAAGACAGGAUGUAUACAGAUAUGAGCAGUUUACAGAGGAGUAUAGAGUGCAGUGAUGUGUCCUAUAAGGAGCAUUGGUGGCAAAUCUGAUGGCUGAAUGGUAAAGAACAUCUAGUCGCUCGAGAGCACCCUUACCUGCCG